CCUACGGGAGGCAGCAGUGAGGAAUAUUCGUCAAUGGGCGCUAGCCUGAACCAGCCAAGUAGCGUGAAUGAUGAAUGCCCUAUGGGUUGUAAACUUCUUUUUUAUGGGAGUAAAGUGGAGUAUGUAUCCUGCUUUGCAUGUACCUUAUGAAUAAGGAUCGGCUCACUCCGUUCCAUCAGCCGCGGUACUACGGAGGAUUCGAGCGUUAUCCGGAUUUAUUGGGUUUAAAGUGAGCGUAGGCGGUUUGUUAAGUUGGUUGUGAAAGUUUGCGGCUCAACCGUAAAAUUGCAGUUGAUACUGGAAUCCUUGAGUGCAGAAGAGGUAAGCGGAAUUCGUGGUGUAGCGGUGAAAUGCUUAGAUAUAACGAAGAACUCCGAUGGCGAAGGCAGCCUGCUGGACUGUAACUGACGCUGAUGCGCGAAAGUGUGGGUAUCAAACAGGAUUAGAUACCCCAGUAGUC
rnacentral:rRNA from 1 species